UUCUCUCUUGAUCCUUUCCUUCAUCUCUGAAUGCCUUAUUCCGUUCCCUUCAAUUACCCCUAGGUAUUCGUAGCUCUCUGCUGGUUCUAACUCCUUUCUGACAUUCUGCUGGUCAAGAUUAACAUUGGAUGUUUCUGUCAUUAUCCCUUUGAUAAA